AGAUUGAACGCUGGCGGCAUGCUUUACACAUGCAAGUCGAACGGUAACAGGCCGCAAGGUGCUGACGAGUGGCGAACGGGUGAGUAAUGCAUCGGAACGUGCCCAGUCGUGGGGGAUAACGCAGCGAAAGCUGUGCUAAUACCGCAUACGAUCUAUGGAUGAAAGCGGGGGACCGAAAGGCCUCGCGCGAUUGGAGCGGCCGAUGUCAGAUUAGCUAGGUUGGUAGGGGUAAAGCCC
rnacentral:rRNA from 1 species